UCUCUAAUUUAUGGUGAUUCUACACAACAGGACAUAUUUCAAAGCACAAGUGACAAGAAUUUCAACUCAUGUCUUGCAACAGCUGAUAAAGAG